rnacentral:rRNA from 1 species
GAUGAACGCUGGCGGCGUGCCUAAUAUAUGCAAGUCGAGCGAACAGACGAGGAGCUUGCUCCUCUGACGUUAGCGGCGGACGGGUGAGUAACACGUGGAUAACCUACCUAUAAGACUGGGAUAACUUCGGGAAACCGGAGCUAAUACCGGAUAAUAUAUUGAACCGCAUGGUUCAAUAGUGAAAGACGGUUUUGCUGUCACUUAUAGAUGGAUCCGCGCCGCAUUAGCUAGUUGGUAAGGUAACGGCUUACCAAGGCAACGAUGCGUAGCCGACCUGAGAGGGUGAUCGGCCACACUGGAACUGAGACACGGUCCAGACUCCUACGGGAGGCAGCAGUAGGGAAUCUUCCGCAAUGGGCGAAAGCUUGACGGAGCAACGCCGCGUGAGUGAUGAAGGUCUUCGGAUCGUAAAACUCUGUUAUUAGGGAAGAACAAAUGUGUAAGUAACUAUGCACGUCUUGACGGUACCUAAUCAGAAAGCCACGGCUAACUACGUG